AGAGUUUGAUCCUGGCUCAGGACGUUCGCUGGCGGCAUGCCUAAUACAUGCAAGUCGAACGCUGAAGCACUCUGCUUGCAGAGUGCGGAUGAGUGGCGAACGGGUGAGUAACACGUGGGAAAUCUGCCUAGGAGUGGGGGAUAACAUUCGGAAACGGAUGCUAAUACCGCAUAUCUUCAUAGACCGCAUGGUCUAUGAAUGAAAGACGGCUUUGCUGUCGCUCUUAGAUGAUCCCGCGGCGUAUUAGUUAGUUGGUGGGGUAAAGGCCUACCAAGACAAUGAUACGUAGCCGACCUGAGAGGGUGAUCGGCCACACUGGGACUGAGACACGGCCCAGACUCCUACGGGAGGCAGCAGUGAGGAAUAUUGGUCAAUGGAGGCAACUCUGAACCAGCCAAGUCGCGUGAAGGAUGACUGCCCUACGGGUUGUAAACUUCUUUUUUAAGGGAAUAAAGUGAGCCACGUGUGGCUUUUUGCAUGUACCUUACGAAUAAGGAUCGGCUAACUCCGUGCCAGCAGCCGCGGUAAUACGGAGGAUCCGAGCGUUAUCCGGAUUUAUUGGGUUUAAGGGGUGCGCAGGCGGAAUAUUAAGUCGGCGGUGAAAGUUUGCAGCUUAACUGAAAAAUUGGCCGUUGAUACUGGUAUUCUUGAGUGUAUAUGAAAGAGGCGGAAUUUGUAGGGGGGCGGGGAAAUGCAUAAAUUAUACAAGGAACCUCCGAUUGCGAAGGCAGCUUUAUUAAUUACCACUGACGCUUUAGGCACGAAGGGGGUGGGUAUUAAAAAA
rnacentral:rRNA from 1 species